rnacentral:misc_RNA from 1 species
GAUCCAGCAUUCUUGGAUGCCCUUCCUGAGGAGUUGCGAGCUGAAGUUCUUUCUGCUCAACAGGGUCAAGUGGCCCAACCUUCAAAUGCUGAACCACAAAACACUGGGGAUAUUGAUCCAGAAUUCCUUGCGGCCCUUCCUCCAGACAUUCGAGCAGAGGUUUUAGCACAACAGCAAGCACAAAGGCUUCAUCAAUCUCAUGAACUGGAAGGUCAACCAGUUGAAAUGGACACUGUCUCUAUAAUUGCAACAUUUCCGUCAGAUUUGCGUGAAGAGGUUCUCCUAACAUCAUCCGAUGCUAUACUUGCUAAUCUCACACCUGCUCUUGUUGCGGAGGCUAACAUGUUACGUGAGAGAUUUGCACAUCGUUAUCAUAAUCGUACACUCUUUGGUAUGUAUCCCAGAAGUCGCAGGGGUGAGUCUUCUCGGCGAGGUGAAGGUAUUGGAUACAGCCUGGAGAGAGCUGGGACUGCCUCACG